rnacentral:rRNA from 1 species
GGGUCAUUAGGUUGGUCGUGCCACCGGUACGUACUGGUCUCACUGAUUCCUCCUUCCUGAAUAACCGUAAUGCCAUUAAUUUGGUGUUGCGGGGAAACAGGACUGUUACUUUGAAAAAAUUAGAGUGUUUAGAGCAAGCUAACGCUUGAAUACAUUAGCAUGGAAUAAUGAAAUAGGACGAUCGAUCCUAUUUUGUUGGUUUCUAGGAUUGACGUAAUAAUUAAUAGGGAUAUUUGGG